rnacentral:rRNA from 1 species
GACGAACGCUGGCGGCGUGCUUAACACAUGCAAGUCGAACGGAAAGGCCCUGCUUUUGUGGGGUGCUCGAGUGGCGAACGGGUGAGUAACACGUGAGUAACCUGCCCUUGACUUUGGGAUCACUUCAGGAAACUGGGGCUAAUACCGGAUAGGAGCUCCUGCUGCAUGGUGGGGGUUGGAACGUUUCGGCGGUUGGGGAUGGACUCGCGGCUUAUCAGCUUGUUGGUGGGGUAGUGGCUUACCAAGGCUUUGACGGGUAGCCGGCCUGAGAGGGUGACCGGCCACAUUGGGACUGAGAUACGGCCCAGACUCCUACGGGAGGCAGCAGUGGGGAAUAUUGCACAAUGGGCGGAAGCCUGAUGCAGCAACGCCGCGUGCGGGAUGACGGCCUUCGGGUUGUAAACCGCUUUCGCCUGUGACGAAGCGUGAGUGACGGUAAUGGGUAAAGAAGCACCGGCUAACUACGUG